ensembl:lncRNA
GUGGUGCCCGAUCCCGAGGCCGUUCCCGAGGCGGUGCCCGAUGUUGUUCCCGAUGCCGAGGCGGUGCCCGAUGCCGAGGCGGUGCCCGAUGCCGAGGCGGUCCCCGAUGCCGAGGCGGUGCCCGAUGCCGAGGCGGUGCCCGAGGCGGUCCCCGAUGCCGAGGCGGUGCCCGAGGCGGUUCCCGAUGCAAUGUCCGAUGCCGAGGCGGUCCCCGAUGCCGAGGCGGUGCCAGAGACGGUUCCCGAUGUAAUGCCCGAGACCGAGGCUGUGCCCGAUGCCGAGGCGGUGCCCGAUGCCGUUCCGGAGGUCGAGGCAGUGACCGAUGCCGUGCCAGAGACGGUGCCAGAGACGGUUCCCGAUGUAAUGCCCGAGACCGAGGCUGUUCCGGAGGUCGAGGCGGUGCCCGAUGUUGUUCCCGAUGCCGAGGCGGUGCCCGAUGUUGUUUCCGAUGCCGAGGCUGUUCCGGAGGUCGAGGCGGUGCCCGAUGCCGAGCCCGAGGCCGUUCCCGAGGCGGUGCCCUUGUCCAAUGCCGUUCCUGAGGCCAUUCCUGAGGCCGUUCCUGAGACCGUUCCCGAGGCGGUGCCCGAUGCCAAGGUCGUUCCCGAGGCUGUGCCCGAUGCCGAGGCCGUUCCCGAGACCGUUCCCGAGGCGGUGCCCGAUGCCGAGGUUCCCGAGGCGGUGUCCUUGUCCGAUGCCGUUCCUGAGGCCAUUCCCGAGGCGGUGCCCGAUGCUGUUCCGGAGGCCGAUGCGGGGCCCGAGAUGGUUCCGGAGGCGAUACCCGUG